CCUACGGGCGGCAGCAGUGGGGAAUAUUGCACAAUGGGGGAAACCCUGAUGCAGCGACGCCGCGUGAGUGAAGAAGUAUCUCGGUACGUAAAGCUCUAUCAGCAGGGAAGAAAAUGACGGUACCUGACUAAGAAGCCCCGGCUAACUACGUGCCAGCAGCCGCGGUAAUACGUAGGGGGCAAGCGUUAUCCGGAUUUACUGGGGGUAAAGGGAGCGUAGACGGCAGCACAAGUCUGGAGUGAAAUCCCGGGGCUUAACCCCGGAACUGCGUUGGAAACUGUUCGGCUGGAGUGCAGGAGGGGUAAGCGGAAUUCCUAGUGUAGCGGUGAAAUGCGUAGAUAUUAGGAGGAACACCGGUGGCGAAGGCGGUUUACUGGACUGUAACUGACGUUGAGGCUCGAAAGCGUGGGGAGCAAACAGGAUUAGAUACCCGGGUAGUC
rnacentral:rRNA from 1 species